CUCAAGGUUUUUUUUAAAACCAUUUUUACUACACCCAAGAUAAUAU
rfam:Papilio xuthus contig17449, whole genome shotgun sequence.